AGGAAUAUUGGUCAAUGGGCGCGAGCCUGAACCAGCCAAGUAGCGUGAAGGAUGAAGGUCCUACGGAUUGUAAACUUCUUUUAUACGGGAAUAAAGUGGUCCACGUGUGGAUUUUUGCAUGUACCGUAUGAAUAAGCAUCGGCUAACUCCGUGCCAGCAGCCGCGGUAAUACGGAGGAUGCGAGCGUUAUCCGGAUUUAUUGGGUUUAAAGGGAGCGCAGACGGGGGAUUAAGUCAGUUGUGAAAGUUUGCGGCUCAACCGUAAAAUUGCAGUUGAUACUGGUUCCCUUGAGUGCAGUUGAGGCAGGCGGAAUUCGUGGUGUAGCGGUGAAAUGCAUAGAUAUCACGAAGAACCCCGAUUGCGAAGGCAGCCUGCUAAGCUGUAACUGACGUUGAGGCUCGAAAGUGUGGGUAUCAAACAGGAUUAGAUACCCUGGUAGUCCACACGGUAAACGAUGGAUACUCGCUGUUGGCGAUAUACUGUCAGCGGCCAAGCGAAAGCAUUAAGUAUCCCACCUGGGGAGUACGCCGGCAACGGUGAAACUCAAAGGAAUUGACGGGGGCCCGCACAAGCGGAGGAACAUGUGGUUUAAUUCGAUGAUACGCGAGGAACCUUACCCGGGCUUAAAUUGCAGACGAAUUACUUGGAAACAGGUAAGCCGCAAGGCGUCUGUGAAGGUGCUGCAUGGUUGUCGUCAGCUCGUGCCGUGAGGUGUCGGCUUAAGUGCCAUAACGAGCGCAACCCUCGUGGCCAGUUACUAGCAGGUAACGCUGAGGACUCUGGCCAGACUGCCAUCGUAAGAUGCGAGGAAGGUGGGGAUGACGUCAAAUCAGCACGGCCCUUACGUCCGGGGCUACACACGUGUUACAAUGGGAGGUACAGAAGGCAGCUACCCGGCGACGGGAUGCCAAUCUCCAAAGCCUCUCUCAGUUCGGACUGGAGUCUGCAACCCGACUCCACGAAGCUGGAUUCGCUAGUAAUCGCGCAUCAGCCACGGCGCGGUGAAUACGUUCCCG
rnacentral:rRNA from 1 species